rnacentral:rRNA from 1 species
UACGGGGGACGCAAGCGUUAUCCGGAAUUAUUGGGCGUAAAGGGUCCUGAGGUGGCUAGCCAAGUCUAUUGUGAAAUAUCAGGGCUUAACCCUGAACAUGCGGUGGAAACUAGAAAGCUUGAGUACAGUAGGGGCGGAGGGAAUUUCCGGUGGAGCGGUGAAAUGCAUAGAUAUCGGGAAGAACACCAACGGCGAAAGCACUCCGCUGGGCUGAUACUGACACUGACAGACGAAAGCUAGGGUAGCGAAAGGG